rnacentral:tRNA from 1 species
GGCGACGUAGCCAAGCGGUAAGGCAGAGGUCUGCAAAACCUCUAUUCAUCGGUUCAAUUCCGAUCGUCGCCUCCA